UACGGAGGGAGCUAGCGUUGUUCGGAAUUACUGGGCGUAAAGCGCGCGUAGGCGGCUUUGUAAGUUAGAGGUGAAAGCCCGGGGCUCAACCCCGGAACUGCCUUUAAGACUGCAUCGCUUGAAUCCGGGAGAGGUGAGUGGAAUUCCGAGUGUAGAGGUGAAAUUCGUAGAUAUUCGGAAGAACACCAGUGGCGAAGGCGGUUCUCUGGGCCUUACCUGACGCUGAGGAGCGAAAGCGUGGGGAGCAAACAGG
rnacentral:rRNA from 1 species